UACGGAGGGUGCGAGCGUUAUCCGGAAUUACUGGGUUUAAAGGGUGCGUAGGCGGCUUUGUAAGUCAGGAGUGAAAGUUUGCGGCUCAACCGUAAAAUUGCUUCUGAUACUGCAUGGCUAGAAUUAGGAUGAGGUCAGCGGAAUGUGGCAUGUAGCGGUGAAAUGCAUAGAUAUGCCAUAGAACACCAAUUGCGAAGGCAGCUGACUAGACCUGGAUUGACGCUGAGGCACGAAAGCGUGGGGAGCGAACAGG
rnacentral:rRNA from 1 species